rnacentral:rRNA from 1 species
GCCACUGCUAUUGGGGUUCGGCUAAGCCAUGCGAGUGGAGGGCGUCCCGCAAGGGAUGGCCCCGCAGACGGCUCAGUAACACGUCGCCAACCCACCUUAGGGUGGGGGACAACCUCGGGAAACUGAGGAUAAUCCCCCAUAGGCGGGGGAGGCUGGAAUGCGCCCCCGCUGAAAGCUCAGGCGCCCUAGGACGGGACGGCGGCCUAUCAGGUAGUUGGUGGUGUGACG